CGUGCACCCGGCGGGAUGGCGUGUGCGGCCUCACCCAACCCCCUCCCCGUGGCCACCCUCCCCGCUCGCCGCCGCAGCACGACUGCUGCCGUGCCCGCCUGCCACUACCCCGCGUCGUCGCGGCUCCCGAGGCGUUCGUGGCUCCUCUCUGGAAACGCGCCCGGCGCUCGGCUGCGGGCUGAGGCCUCCAAGGCCGACCCGGUCGAGGAGAGCCUCGCCGCCGCGCCGCCGCCGACCGCCCCGUCGGAACCCCUGCCCCGACCACAAACCAGCACAUGGAAUUGGAAGGGCUACAACAUUCGCUACCAGUAUGCCGGAACGUCUGGCCCUGCAUUGGUUCUAAUUCAUGGUUUCGGGGCCAACAGUGACCAUUGGCGGAAAAAUAUUCCUGUUCUUGCCAUGGAAAAUAGAGUUUAUGCAAUUGAUCUAAUUGGUUAUGGCUAUUCUGAUAAGCCUAAUCCACGUGAGUUUCAAGAGAGCUUUUAUACCUUUGAGACUUGGGGAGAACAGUUGAACACGUUUUGUGCUGAAAUUGUCAAGACUGAUGCUUUCUUCAUAUGCAAUUCAAUCGGAGGGCUCGUUGGUCUGCAGGCCGCUGUUAUGCAACCUCAAACUUGUAAGGGUAUUGUUUUAUUGGAUAUUUCACUAAGGAUGCUUCAUAUUAGCAAGCAGCCAUGGUAUGGAAAGCCUUUCAUCAGAUCAUUUCAAAAUCUCCUAAGGAACACUGUUGUUGGAAAGCUCUUCUUUAAUUCUGUUGCAACACCAGAAUCCGUGAAAAAUAUUCUUUCUCAGUGCUACCAUGACACAUCCGCUGUCACAGAUGAGCUGGUUCAGUUUAUUCUGCAGCCAGGGCUUGACCCUGGGGCAGUGGAUGUAUUCCUUGAGUUCAUCUGCUACUCUGGAGGUCCUCUACCUGAGGAUCUACUUCCCAUGGUGAAGUGUCCUGUUUUAGUAGCUUGGGGGGAGAAGGAUCCGUGGGAGCCUGUGGAGCUUGGAAGAGCCUAUGGGUCUUUUGAUGCUGUUGAAGAUUUUAUUGUCUUGCCAAAUGUUGGACACUGCCCACAGGAUGAGGCACCUCAGCUUGUUAAUCCACUUGUCGAAUCAUUUGUUAAACUCCAUAGUUAGCACACAUGGUUGGAUUAUUUUCUCUGUUUAUUAGACAUUGGUCAACUGGAGCCAAGAGUUGCUGGAAGGUGGGAAUGUCUAUAUUAUUGCAGGAUAACAGAUGUGCCAUUCUUUUAUAGGCCAUGAUAGUACUGCAAUUUGAGGACUGGUGGCAAACACAUUCAACAUAUAUUACAGUUCAGGUAUGAGACAUGAGGAAUUAUCUGGUUUUAUUACCGUCGAAGAACAUGUCUGCUCAGAACAUAAGUUAACCUUCUUGUCCAAUACACGGGGUUAGUACAAGCGGCACGUGUUUUUUUUAUUCCGGUGGAGGUACAAUGAAAGUGAAGCAAACUCAUAUGUAUAUAAUUACUCGACUAUUAUUUACUGCAA